rnacentral:lncRNA from 1 species
GGGCCGGCGCGUGACGUCAGCGCGCAGCACGUACCCUCCCGCGCUGGAGCCCUGGGCUUGGGGGUGACUUGCGAUCCCACCGCCCGCGAGUUUCGGGGAAGCGCGGUUCUGCUCGCUCACACGGUUCUCAACACCCAUCUUAGUAAACGCAGCGCCCCGCCGCGGAGCCACGGACUUGUCUCCUAAUUUGCACUUUCUAAAAAAGUUCUUCCGGUGAUCUUCCCGGGACAGGCGCCCGGGAGGCAGGCUAUGGGGGGGGGACUCGCUUUUCAUUGGUUCCUGAGGUUGUCGUAAUAGGCCUCCGUGGCCUCUGAUUGGCUCCUGAGAGCGGGGCAGCUCCUCCCCCCCUCCCCCCGGUGGGUUCACGCUCCGCUGGGCUGGGAGCGCGCGCUCCGGUACCGUUGGUUGGCUGCUUUCACCGGAUCGCCGGCUCCAGCUCCGCGGUCGCGGUGGCCCGGCCGGGAUGGUGUUGCGAGCGCGCAGCCCCACUGGCCUCCAUCCCUGGUGGCUUCACUCAGAGUCGUUAUCAGCCUCGACCGCCCCGCGGCACAGCCCCCCCUCCCUCCGUGGGUCUCUCUGGGAGCGCUGGCCGCUGGGGUCACCUGUAGAUUCCUGUGUACGUGGUCAUUCCACGCUCGCCGUGCGUGCUCGCAGAGAGCCUCUGGCCCCAGAAGGUCGAGCAAGACCUGACAGCCCUCCAGCAGACGUGCGCUCUUUUUUCUCCCUGGGAUGGAGAGUCCGGUGUGUCCCAGCGCCAUCUCUUCCCCCAACAGGUUUCUGCAAACGAAGCGCUCCUUGACUGGGAAGAUGGGGCUCUGUUGCCAUCUGGUGGCCACUGGCUUGACUACAGUGAUGGACAAAUUCCACUUGAUGCCUCAUCCAGGUCUCAAUGAAGCUCAGAGAGAGGUCUUUGAAGGUCCCGGAAUCUAAAUCUUCUGAUUGUCAAGACCUAUUCACCCAGAGGUUUUCUGGCCCUUACUUGAAUGUCUCCUGUGGUGGAGAGUUCACUGCCUAACCAGACACCCAAGUCCAUUCUCAGACAUCUCUCAUUUUGAGUAAAUUCUUUAUAGAGAAUAAAAUAUUGCUCCCUUGAAUUGUCUAGUCACUGGUCCUGGUUGUGUCCCUGAGGCUGUUCAAAUGACCACCACACCUAGAUCUUCCAGAUGUUCAAGUCCUCUCUUCUGGCUGAAUGCCUGCAGUCCUCCAAACAUCUCUCCUGGGAACUGCUUUCAAGUCUGUUUGUCACCCUGGCUGUUGCUGACCAGCCUGUGGUCAGACUCAUUUGUGGCUUUCUUCAGCUGGGCCUUCAGAGCUAACCUUGCCCCCCUGGUCUUGCCUGAACUUGCCUGCUAUUCUCCACACCAGUUAAGAGCUGUUGGCAUAGAUGGGGUGGCUGGUGUGUAAUUCCUCACUCAGCUCUACCUCUCUUGCUGCAUGGAACCAAAUUGGGAUUCUGGAAUAGCCCAUUUGUGGCAAAUAAUGUUUGCCUUGAGAAUGGAAACAGAUGAGGUAGCAGAAUGGAAACCCAGUGCUUAUAGGCAGAUAGGCUCAGUUCCUGGGGCAGCUGGGAGACAGAAGUGUUGAGGAGGAAAGUCCUAGUUGGCCACAGGUCAGGUGAAGAGCAUGAGGCCAUGGGGAAACUCUGAAGACAAAUACUGCAGAAACCAUGGCAUACUUUAGGUAUACUGUGGUCUCGAUGCUUGUCAGAGUCCAGUGGGAGGCAAUGCUGGGCUCUCCUCCCAGAUCUCCCCCCCCUGAGCUGGUGCCUGUGGGUUUCUGUUCUUUUGCCUGACACUGGGCUGUGGCUUGCAGACAUUUUCCCAUCAUUAGUUCUACAUGCUGUUAUUUGGACAAGUUUAGGCUGAAACAUAUUCCUGAAUGCUUUGCACACUCAUGCUUAUCACUACAGCCUUUAUUCUGCAGCAAAAGCUGCAUCAUCAAAUGGUGGCCCUCUAAUAUCAUAGGACAGAGGGUCAGGUGGAACUGCAAUAUGCCAGAGAGCAUCCAGGGGUGUGCCCAGGGUGUAGAACCCACAUCCUAGCAGAGUAAGAGAAAAUAUGUCUUAAAACAAAACAAAACAAAACAAAAAAAAGGCAUGGCCCAGGCACUGGGCUAGUCUCGGGGGCAUAACCAGGAAGAAGACAGACCAAUCAGCCCUUCUGAAAACUGUACACCCAAAGCAGUGGUCCUCAGACGUUGGUGAGCACCACUUAAAUAUGAAGGUAUAUGGGCUCCACCCCUCAGAGGAUGCAGGGCAGGGCCUCAGAAUGUGCAUGUUCAGCAUCUUCCAGUGUGACUGUGAUGCAGAUGGUCAGGUGACCAUACUUUGAGAAAUAUUGGCUUGGGCCCUUCUAUUACUCAAAUUGUGGUCUGGGAGUCCCUGCCCCUGUCAGCAUCCCUGAGAGCUUGUGAGACACACAGAAUCUCAGUCUCUACCCCACCUUGUGAAUCAAAAUGAAUAAACAAGAUUCUCAAGAGGAUUUGUGCGCAUGUUAAAGUUUGGGAAGCAUUGCCAAUGCAAGAUGUGAGGGAGCCUUGCUUUUUACCUUCUGUGUUGUUUUGUUUUUUUUAAGAUUUUAUUUUAUUUUUUAAGGUUUUAUUUAUUUAUUUACUCAUGGAA